rnacentral:rRNA from 1 species
UACGUAGGGAGCAAGCGUUGUCCGGAAUCAUUGGGCGUAAAGCGCGCGUAGGUGGCCCCAUAAGUCCGCUGUGAAAGUCAAAGGCUCAACCUUUGAAAGCCGGUGGAUACUGUGGGACUAGAGUACGGAAGAGGCGAGUGGAAUUCCUGGUGUAGCGGUGAAAUGCGCAGAUAUCAGGAAGAACACCCGUGGCGAAGGCGGCUCUCUGGGACGGUACUGACGCUGAGACGCGAAAGCGUGGGGAGCGAACAGG